rnacentral:misc_RNA from 1 species
GAUGAAGAACGCAGCGAAAUGCGAUAAGUAAUGUGAAUUGCAGAAUUCCGUGAAUCAUCGAAUCUUUGAACGCACCUUGCGCCCUUUGGCUAUUCCGAAGGGCAUGCCUGUUUGAGUAUCAUGAAAACCUCAACUCUCAUGGCUUGCCAUGAUGAGCUUGGACUCUGGGGGUCUUGCUGGCUUUACGGUCAGCUCCUCUCAAAUAAAUCAGCUUGCCGGUGUUUGGUGGGAUCACAGGUGUGAUAACUAUCUACGCUUGUGGUUUUCCGCCAGGUAACCUUCAGCAAUGGAGGUUCGCUGGAGCUCAUAAAUGUCUCUCCUCAGCGAGGACAGAUUUUGACCGUUUGAUCUCAAAUCAGGUAGGACUACCCGCUGAACUUAAGCAUAUCAAUAAGCGGAGGA